rnacentral:misc_RNA from 1 species
GUGAAUCAUCGAAUUUUUGAACGUAAAUUGCGCUUCCUGGCAUCCCGGGGAGUAUGCCUGUUUGAGGGUCAGUAUUAAUAAAAACUCGGUUUAGUUACAAAUUGUGACGUUUACGGGGUUUGGGCGAUCUUAACCUUUUUGGUUAAGAGGCUUAAACUGGACCUUUUUUACUCUUUUUUACAUGUACAU